UACGAAGGGGGCUAGCGUUGCUCGGAAUUACUGGGCGUAAAGGGCGCGUAGGCGGACAGUUAAGUCAGAGGUGAAAGCCCAGGGCUCAACCCUGGAAUUGCCUUUGAUACUGGCUGUCUUGAGUAUGGGAGAGGUGAGUGGAACUCCGAGUGUAGAGGUGAAAUUCGUAGAUAUUCGGAGGAACACCAGUGGCGAAGGCGGCUCACUGGUCCGGUACUGACGCUGAGGUGCGAAAGCGUGGGGAGCAAACAGG
rnacentral:rRNA from 1 species